GCCCAGACUCCUACGGGAGGCAGCAGUGAGGAAUAUUGGUCAAUGGGCGCGAGCCUGAACCAGCCAAGUCGCGUGAGGGAUGACGGUCCUACGGAUUGUAAACCUCUUUUGCCGGGGAGCAAGCGUGCGUUCGUGAACGCGCGUCGAGAGUACCCGGAGAAAAAGCAUCGGCUAACUCCGUGCCAGCAGCCGCGGUCAUACGUAGGAUCCGAGCAUUAUCCGGAGUGACUGGGUGUAAAGAGUUGCGUAGGUGGCAUAAUAAGUAGCUAGUGAAAUCUGGUGGCUCAACCAUUCAGACUAUUAGCUAAACUGUUAAGCUCGAGACCGUUAGGGGUAACUGGAAUUUCUAGUGUAGGAGUGAAAUCCGUAGAUAUUAGAAGGAACACCGAUAGCGUAGGCAGGUUACUGGGACGGUUCUGACACUAAGGCACGAAAGCGUAGGGAGCAAACGGGAUUAGAUACCCCCGUAU
rnacentral:rRNA from 1 species